GUUGGAGGAUGGAUGGGGGCAGUGGCCAUUUUGUGGACUAUCCACACCUUAUCCCAAUUGUUUUGCCAAAUGCUAAUCUAGGUGCUGCUGAGCAGAGAUUGUAUAGACAUAAUUAAAGUCCCAAGUCAGUUUAUUUUGAGCUAAUAAAAAAGGGGCAUCAUACUGGUUGGGCCUGAUUUAGUCAAGCCAAAGCCCUUUUAAGGAGCAACUAGACUCUUCCUAAAGUUCAGAGACUCCAAGCUUCAGCUCAAGCUCAUGGGAUUCCAGCUAGCUUAUGACCUUCCCUUCCCAGCUGCCUGCUCUAUGGACUCUGGGUUUCCAAAUAUACUAAAGUUGCUAAUUUUUGAAAACUUUCAAUCAUAUAUGUAUAUCCAG
rnacentral:lncRNA from 1 species